GGUCGGGUGGCGUAAUGGCAACGCGUUACUUUCCGGUUAACAUAGACGUUUCCUCAGUUGGUAAAGAUUCUGGGUUCGAGUCCCAGCUCGAUCG